GGGCAGGGGCCGCUCAAGGCCACUCAAAUCUGUUCCUAAGCUGCUGGCCAGGGUCCUUCCAACUUACUGAUCAGACUGACUGACUGACAGACGGAAGGAAGGAAGGAAGGAAGGAAGGAAGGAAGGAAGGACAGAAAGACUGAUAAACUCACUGACAGACUGAAUAAAUGAAUAACUGACAGACUGAAUGAAUGAAUGACUGAAUGAAUGACUGACUGAGUGAAUGAAUGAAUGAAUGACUGAAUGAAUAACAGACUGAAUGAAUGACUGACUGAGUGAAUGAAUGAAUGAAUGAAUGAAUAAUGAACUGACUGACUGAAUGGCUGAGUGAAUGUCUAACUGACAGGCUGAUGACUGAAUGAAUGACUGACUGAAUGACGGACAGACUGAAUGACUGGCUGACAGACUGACUGAAUGAAUGAAACACAGAAAUGCCAGGGUCAUCUCCUCAGUGUGUGGAGCAAAGGCUGACGUCACAUUGAGUGGUUCUAAUGGUGAUGGAAGGUCAGGGUUAAGGCGGAUGCUGAGUCAGGGUUCAGGUGGC
rnacentral:lncRNA from 1 species